GGGGAUAUGGCGAAAUGGUAGACGCAGCGGACUCAAAAAAUCCGUUGGUUUCGGCCGUGAGGGUUCAAUUCCCUCUAUCCCCA
rnacentral:tRNA from 1 species